rnacentral:lncRNA from 1 species
AAUAUUAAAAUCUAUAGAAAUAUUAGUAUGUCAUGGAUUAGCAUGGCAUGAAUUUCCGUAGCGAAAUCUGCACUGCAGUUUUAAACGAUGUACAGCAUUGGCGGCUCUGUGCGCGAGGUCACGG